GCAGUUCGAGUAUGCAAUAUUUCGGAACUGAGUCUAGUUCCUUCGAUAUCAGUGUAAUCUAAUAACCAUGAUAUUUGUGAAUAUGAUGCUUGUGUGAUGUUACUCUGAGUGCAUAUCCACACCGGGCAAGCUUGAAAAAUAUGCCAAGCCACAUUGGGAUUCAAACCGACCUGACCGCGUAGCUCAGUUGACAGAGCAUUGGCAUUUGGGCUAGUAUUCCAAAGGUCGUAGGUUCAAAUCCCACUGUGGCCAGGCAUAUUUUUCAAGCCUGCCCGGUGUGGAUAUACACUCAGAGUAACAUCACACAAGCAUCUCAUUUCAUCACGUUCCUCCAGAUAUUCAUACACUUCCUGUGAAAGAGCCAAUUCCAAGUAUUUAAUCAUUUCUGGUCACUUCCUUUCUAUUUAUGAUUGGUUAGUUGCACAAACAGCAAAGGUGAUUGGCGCAUUCAAACCAUUUAAC